UCGACAGGUUCCGUAGGUGACUGCCGAAAGGAUCAUCAAGUGAAAUAACCUGAUGGGUUUUGCUGUUUUCUAGGGAGCAUGGUGCACACCUGGUCAUCUUUAUAUCUCCACCUGUGCACNUGUUGUAGACCUUUCAGGUCUAUGUUGCUUCAUUGUACCCCCAAUGUAUGUUAAUAGAAUGUUGUGCCUAUGANAUAUACACAACUGUCUCAGCAACCGGAUCUCAUGUGGCUCUCGCAUCGAUGAAGAACGCAGCGAAAUGCGACUAAGUAAUCGUGAAUUGCAGAAUUCAGUGAAUCAUCGAAUCUUUGAACGCACCUUGCGCUCCUUGGUAUUCCGAGGAGCAUGCCUGUUUGAGUGUCAUUAAUAUAUCAACCUUCGUCUUCGUUGAGUGGCUUUAGGAUGUGGGAGGUUUCGCUGGCCUGCUUGAAAGAGGUUAUAGCUCUCCUCGAAAUGCAUUAGCGGAACAAACCUCUGUUCACUGUGGUGUGAUAAACUAUGCUACGCUAUUGAAUGUGAUAGGCGCAGUUUGGCUUUCUAACUAGUUCCCUUGGGAACCAAAGNUUCAUCAUUAAUGUGACCUCAAAUCAGGUACGGACUACCCCGCUGAACUUUAAGCCAUAUCAAUAAGCGGAGGAAAAGAAACUGAACAACGGAUUCCCCUACGUAACCUCGCCGAGUGAAGCGGGAAAAGCUCAAAUUUAAAAUCUGGCGUCUUUCGCUGUACCCGUUCCUGUG
rnacentral:rRNA from 1 species